UUCAAUAUUGAAGCAAUUCAAUGUGCACUUCUCGCUUAGUAAGACGCUGUGAUCCAUUAGAAAUUGACCAUUCCAAUGGUUAUUUGGCUAUCAAUAGGUCGGCGUAAAGUUCAUUAAUGCAAAUGACUCGAUCUUUUAUGGUUGGGUGUAUUGUUUGGUGAGUGCGUCGUGUCCUGUCUAUAGCUGUCUGAUGGAUUUUAAAGGUCAUAUCAUUGAUGCUUCGGUAUCACUCAUACGUGAGAAUGGAUAUGUGCCCGAUCAACAGCGGUUAAAUUUGGGAUACCUUUUGGACCCGUCUUGAAACACGGACCAAGGAGUCUAUCUAGUAUGCGAGUAAAUGAGUAUAUGAAACUUAUUUGCAUAAAAAACUUGACUGUUAUGGGAUUACGAGUCAUCUCGGUGGCUCCUCCAUCCCGGGGUAUUUUCAUCAACAUAUGCAGCAAUGUAUAUGGAAAAUAUACCAUGAGCAUACUGGAUAUGACCCGAAAGAUGGUGAACUAUGCUUGAUCAGGUUGAAGUCAGGGGAAACCCUGAUGGAGGACCGAAGCAAUUCUGACGUGCAAAUCG
rnacentral:rRNA from 1 species